rnacentral:rRNA from 1 species
UAGGGAAUCUUCCGCAAUGGGCGAAAGCUUGACGGAGCAACGCCGCGUGAGUGAUGAAGGUCUUCGGAUCGUAAAACUCUGUUAUUAGGGAAGAACAAAUGUGUAAGUAACUAUGCACGUCUUGACGGUACCUAAUCAGAAAGCCACGGCUAACUACGUGCCAGCAGCCGCGGUAAUACGUAGGUGGCAAGCGUUAUCCGGAAUUAUUGGGCGUAAAGCGCGCGUAGGCGGGUUUUUAAGUCUGAUGUGAAAGCCCACGGCUCAACCGGGGAGGGUCAUUGGAAACUGGAAAACUUGAGUGCAGAAGAGGAAAGUGGAAUUCCAUGUGUAGCGGUGAAAUGCGCAGAGAUAUGGAGGAACACCAGUGGCGAAGGCGACUUUCUGGUCUGUAACUGACGCUGAUGUGCGAAAGCGUGGGGAUCAAACAGG